GAAUCUCUUGAACCUAGAGGUGGAGGCUGCAGUGAGCUGAGAUUGUGCCCCUGCACUCCAGUCUGGGUGACACAGCGAGCCUCCAUCUUUAAAAAAUAAAAGAUUAGGCCCUGAACUUGCAAGUAAGCACAUAGAUAAGCUAGUGCAAGAGAGUGUCUAGCGGAAAAGGAAGGAAACAAUUUCAAAGUAUGUUUUCAAGGCUAAAAGCAAGAAAGGGAAAAAAAAAAGUUUCAAAAUGCAUUUGGAAUCUAAGCCACUUGGUUACGGGAAGUCUUAGCAGGGUGGUGGUUGCAAGGAUAUGCUGUGUCUUGCACACGCAGGAGCUGGAGACUGGACGGUGAACAAAAACUAAAGCAGCUGUCAAUGUGGAGCCUGCAUGCUGCUGGGAUUGGUAAAGAAGGACCAGGGCCUUCUGGGGGAGAAUUUUCUCAGUGAUAAGGAGGGACUUUGUCAGGGCAAGUGUUUAGGGAACCCUACUCUCCCUCUCCACAGGCCUCGGGAUGUCUCUGGCAGAUGAGCUCUUAGCCGAUCUCGAAGAGGCAGCAGAAGAGGAGGAAGGAGGAAGCUAUGGGGAGGAGGAAGAGGAGCCAGCGAUCGAGGAUGUGCAGGAGGAGACACAGCUGGAUCUUUCCGGGGAUUCGGUCAAGACCAUCGCGAAGCUAUGGGACAGUAAGAUGUUUGCUGAGAUUAUGAUGAAGAUUGAGGAGUAUAUCAGCAAGCAAGCCAAAGCUUCAGAAGGUACUUCCUCCCCCUUUAUGCCCCCUCCCCAUCUCCUGACUCUUCUGCCAGGCCCCUUGGCUCCUAUGCUGCUUGUGGCUGGGUAUAUCUCCCUCUCAGCCUUUUCCAGAGCCUUCUCUUUUUUUUUUUCGUUCCUCCCCAACCCAUUCCCUUUUCCACUAAACAUAUAUUGCAUCGUAAAGCUCAUGCUUCUUAAGUCCUUACUGUGUACUGAGUUUACUAAUCAUGAUAGGACUUAGCUUGAGUUUUCCCAGACUUCCCUGAUUCACAUGACCAGUUACAGGGUUUUGGCCACAUCUAGAAGCCACUUGUCCUUUAAUUGCUUAACAUACUCUUUGAGUCUAGGACUUUUUUCUUAAAUUUUAUCUAAGAAGGAAGCAAAUUGCUACCAUUAAUGGAAAACCGGUAUCACUUGGUAAAGACAAAGUCACCACAUAAAAAUAAAUAUGUGAUUAUUAAAGUAUCGUCUAAAACCGUUUCUCACUUCCAAAUUUUGGGAACACUGGCUUAUCUCUUGAGUUGUCAGACUAAGUCUUAGAGGGCAGUUCUGUUACCACUCCCAUUCUCUUUUUUUUAAUUUUUCCUUUAGACGGAGUCUCGCUCUGUCGCCCAGGCUGGAGUGCAGUGGUAUGAUCUCAGCUCACUGCAACCUCCGCCUCCCAGGUUCAAGCAAUUCUCCUGCCUCAGCCUCCCGAGUAGCUGGGAUUACAGGCGUGCAACACCAUGUCUGGCUAUUUUGUAUUUUUUUUUAGUAGAGACGGGGUUUCACCAUAUUGGUCAGGCUGGUCUUGAACCUCUGACCUCAAGUGAUCAGCCCACCUCGACCUCCCAAAGUGCCAGGAUUACAGGCAUGAGCCACUGCUCCCGGCCUUCCCAUUCUUCUUGAAUGAAAUUUCUCUGCUGGGCAAAGAAGUGUGUGAGAAAGCAGAGUUUCAGGAGCCCCACUGCCUGCUGUCUUUAACGUUUACCUGGGCACCCGGUUGAAAUCCCCAGGUCUGUGCUCUAAUGUGCUCAAGGUCUGGUGGGAGAGGCAGGCCAAGUUCCAGACAGCUGUCAGGGGGUGAUAGCAGGCUGGGGCCACUGGAGCCACAGGAGGGACUGCCUGACCCUGCCCCAGGAGUCAGGGAGGAAUUGGUGGCUGAACUGGACUCUAGAGCAUGAAUGCAUACACCAAGCAAAGAAAGGGAGGAAGGGGCCUGGGAAAGAAAAGGGGGCCAGGAAAGAAAGCGGCAUGCCCAGGGCCUCAGACACUAGGAGUGAGAGGGCAGGCUCAGGAACGUGCCAGAUCCUGCAGAGUUCCAGAUGCUAGGCCGGGGAACUUCUCCAUCCAGAGACUUAUGGGACACAAAGUGACAUUUCCUGACGUCAGGCCAGGAUCAGGGACAAGUCAGAUCCCGUCAUAGCCGGAGUUGGCUUGGAGAGGUAGACGUGAAGCAUCUCACAAGCAGGUGGCAGUUCCUGUUUGUUGGAGGCGCACAAGUGCUGCAGGUACACAGAGGAGGCAUCUGAUCCUUCUGGAAAGGGAGGGAAGGAUUCUGAGUCGCUGCCUGAGUCUUAAAGACUUCAAGAGCCGUUUGAGCAUCAGGAUUGGGAGCGCAGACUCUGAAGCACCCUGCCUGGGGUCAGAUUUGAGCUCUGCUGUCUACUGGCUCUGUGACAUCAGGCAGUUAGUAUUUGUAUGACAUUUAAACGCAGCAUCGUUUUUUGUUUGUUUUUUGAGACAGGGUCUCACUCUGUCACUAGGCAAGAAUGCAGUGGCACGAACACAGCUCACUGCAGCCUUGACCUUCUGGGUUCCGGCGUUCCUGCCGCAGCCUCCCAGGUAGCUAGGAGCACAGGCAUACACCACCAUGCCUGGCUAAUUUUUUUUCUUUAAUUAUCUGUAGAGAUGAGAUCCCACUGUGUCACCCAGGUUGCUCUCAAACACCUGGGCUCAAGCAGUUCUCCUGCCUGCGCCUCCCAAAGUGCUAGGAUUACAGGUGUGAGCCACUGUGCCUGGCCCCUUAUCACUAAAGCACAAAGAAGGGUUUUCCGGAAACAGAUGUUGGGAGAGGGAACAGCAUGUGCAGAGGCCAGGAGGGGCCAGAUGCAGUGGCUCACCCCUGUAAUCCCACCACUGCAGGGGGCCAAGGUGGGCAGAUCACCUGAGGUUGGGAGUUCGAGACCAACCUGGCCAACGUGGUGAAACCCCAUCUCUACUAAAAAUACCAAAAAAAAUUUAGCUGGGCAUGGUGGCACAUGCCUGUAAUCCCACCUACUCAGGAGGCCAAGGCAGGAGAAUUGCUUGAACCCGGGAGGCGGAAGUGGCAGUGAGCCAAGAUGGUGCUCUGUAGCCUGGGCAACAAGAGCGAAACUCCAAGAAAAAAAAAAAAAGGCCAGGCGGAGUGGGUGUCCAGGGCACUGUGAUCAGUCCUUUAUGGCUGGAGUGGAAUACAAUGGGGUAUAAUGAGAGGGAGCGGUGGGAAGGGCAGAAGCCAGACCGCAGAGUUGCUGAGUCAGCAGAUAGGCACUGGACAGCUCCCUGUAUGCCAGGUGCCAUUCUGGGU
ensembl:lincRNA